rnacentral:rRNA from 1 species
AUUGAACGCUGGCGGCAGGCCUAACACAUGCAAGUCGAGCGGGGUUUUCGGACCUAGCGGCGGACGGGUGAGUAAUGCGUAGGAAGCUACCCGAUAGAGGGGGGUACCAGUUGGAAACGACUGUUAAUACCGCAUAAUGUCUACGGACCAAAGUGUGGGACCUUCGGGCCACAUGCUAUCGGAUGCGCCUACGUGGGAUUAGCUAGUUGGUGGGGUAAUGGCUCACCAAGGCGACGAUCCCUAGCUGGUUUGAGAGGAUGAUCAGCCACACUGGAACGGGGACACGGUCCAGAAUCCUACGGGAGGCAGCAGUGGGGAAUAUUGGACAAUGGGCGCAAGCCUGAUCCAGCCAUGCCGCGUGUGUGAAGAAGGCCUUCGGGUUGUAAAGCACUUUCAGCGAGGAGGAAGGGUUAGUAGUUAAUAGCUGCUAAUUUUGACGUUACUCGCAGAAGAAGCACCGGCUAACUCUGUGCCAGCCGCCGCAGUAACAC